GCCAGCUUGGCUUAGUGGUAUGAGUGUUGGACUACAACUCUGGAGACCAAGGUUUGAAUCCCUACUCAGCCA